rnacentral:rRNA from 1 species
AGUGAACGCUGGCGGUAGGCCUAACACAUGCAAGUCGAACGGCAGCACAGUAAGAGCUUGCUCUUACGGGUGGCGAGUGGCGGACGGGUGAGGAAUACAUCGGAAUCUACUUUUUCGUGGGGGAUGACGUAGGGAAACUUACGCUAAUACCGCAUACGACCUACGGGUGAAAGCAGGGGAUCUUCGGACCUUGCGCGAUUGAAUGAGCCGAUGUCGGAUUAGCUAGUUGGCGGGGUAAAGGCCCACCAAGGCGACGAUCCGUAGCUGGUCUGAGAGGAUGAUCAGCCACACUGGAACUGAGACACGGUCCAGACUCCUACGGGAGGCAGCAGUGGGGAAUAUUGGACAAUGGGCGCAAGCCUGAUCCAGCCAUACCGCGUGGGUGAAGAAGGCCCUCGGGUUGUAAAGCCCUUUUGUUGGGAAAGAAAAGCAGCAGGUUAAUACCCCGCUGUUCUGACGGUACCCAAAGAAUAAGCACCGGCUAACUUCGUG